AUUGAACGCUGGCGGCAUGCCUUACACAUGCAAGUCGAACGGUAACGCGGGGCAACCCGGCGACGAGUGGCGAACGGGUGAGUAAAGCAUCGGAACGUGCCCAGUAGUGGGGGAUAGCCCGGCGAAAGCCGGAUUAAUACCGCAUACGACCUAUGGGUGAAAGGGGGGGAUCGCAAGACCUCUCGCUAAUGGAGCGGCCGAUGUCAGAUUAGGUAGUUGGUGGGGUAAAGGCCUACCAAGCCGACGAUCUGUAGCUGGUCUGAGAGGACGACCAGCCACACGGGGACUGAGACACGGCCCAGACUCCUACGGGAGGCAGCAGUGGGGAAUUUUGGACAAUGGGCGCAAGCCUGAUCCAGCCAUGCCGCGUGCGGGAAGAAGGCCUUCGGGUUGUAAACCGCUUUUGUCAGGGAAGAAAUCCUUUGGGUUAAUACCUCGGGGGGAUGACGGUACCUGAAGAAUAAGCACCGGCUAACUACGUGCCAGCAGCCGCAGUAAUAC
rnacentral:rRNA from 1 species